AUCCUUGGGUUCAUGAGCGUGAGGAUUCAUGCUCUAUGCCUGAGAUGUGCCUCCUUCUAACCCUGUUACCACAUGGGUGCGCACAUUACCAGUCUGUUG